UCUACGGAGAGUUUGAUCCUGGCUCAGAACGAACGCUGGCGGCAUGGAUUAGGCAUGCAAGUCGAACGCGUGUAGCAAUAC
rnacentral:ncRNA from 1 species